AUCCAACGGACGAGUCCCAAAUAGAACGAAACACGAGGUUUUGGAU
rnacentral:hammerhead_ribozyme from 1 species